rnacentral:rRNA from 1 species
CACACCGCCCGUCACGUCAUGGAAGUGGAUGGUACCAGAAGCGGGUAGUUGAACCGAAAGGAAGACGCUUGCCACGGUAUGAUUCAUGACUGGGACG